rnacentral:rRNA from 1 species
GUGCCAGCCGCCGCGGUAAUACCGGCAGCCCGAGUGAUGGCCGAUAUUAUUGGGCCUAAAGCGUCCGUAGCUGGCCGAACAAGUCCGUCGGGAAAUCCACGUGUUUAACGCGUGGGCGACCGGCAGAAACUGUUCGGCUUGGGGCCGGAGGACCCGAGGGGUACGUCCGGGGUAGGAGUGAAAUCCUGUAAUCCUGGACGGACCGCCGGUGGCGAAAGCACUUCGAGAAAACGGAUCCGACAGUGAGGGACGAAAGACAGGGUCGCCAACCGGAUUAGAUACCCCAGUAGUCC